ACUCAAAUGAAUUGACGGGGGCCCGCACAAGCGGCGGAGCAUGUGGAUUAAUUCGAUGCAACGCGAAGAACCUUACCUGGGUUUGACAUGCACAGGACGUGCCUAGAGAUAGGUAUUCCCUUGUGGUCUGUGUGCAGGUGGUGCAUGGCUGUCGUCAGCUCGUGUCGUGAGAUGUUGGGUUAAGUCCCGCAACGAGCGCAACCCUUGUCUCAUGUUGCCAGCGCGUUAUGGCGGGGACUCGUGAGAGACUGCCGGGGUCAACUCGGAGGAAGGUGGGGAUGACGUCAAGUCAUCAUGCCCCUUAUGUCCAGGGCUUCACACAUGCUACAAUGGCCGGUACAAAGGGCUGCGAUGCCGUGAGGUGGAGCGAAUCCUUUCAAAGCCGGUCUCAGUUCGGAUCGGGGUCUGCAACUCGACCCCGUGAAGUCGGAGUCGCUAGUAAUCGCAGAUCAGCAACGCUGCGGUGAAUACGUUCCCGGGCCUUGUACACACCGCCCGU
rnacentral:rRNA from 1 species